GUGGGGAAUAUUGGACAAUGGGGGGAACCCUGAUCCAGCCAUGCCGCGUGUGUGAAGAAGGCCUUUUGGUUGUAAAGCACUUUAAGCGAGGAGGAGGCUACCGAGAUUAAUACUCUUGGAUAGUGGACGUUACUCGCAGAAUAAGCACCGGCUAACUCUGUGCCAGCAGCCGCGGUAAUACGUAGGGUGCGAGCGUUAAUCGGAAUUACUGGGCGUAAAGCGUGCGCAGGCGGUUAUAUAAGACAGAUGUGAAAUCCCCGAGCUUAACUUGGGAAUUGCAUUCGAUACUGGUUGGCUAGAGUAUGGGAGAGGAUGGUAGAAUUCCAGGUGUAGCGGUGAAAUGCGUAGAGAUCUGGAGGAAUACCGAUGGCGAAGGCAGCCAUCUGGCCUAAUACUGACACUGAGGUGCGAAAGCAUGGGGAGCAAACAGGAUUAGAAACCCUGGUAGUCC
rnacentral:rRNA from 1 species